AUACGUAGGGGGCGAGCGUUGUCCGGAAUGAUUGGGCGUAAAGGGCGCGUAGGCGGCCCGGUAAGUCUGGAGUGAAAGUCCUGUUUUUAAGAUGGGAAUUGCUUUGGAUACUGUCGGGCUUGAGUGCAGGAGAGGUAAGUGGAAUUCCCAGUGUAGCGGUGAAAUGCGUAGAGAUUGGGAGGAACACCAGUGGCGAAGGCGACUUUCUGGACUGUAACUGACGCUGAGGCGCAAAAGUGUGGGGAGCAAACAGGAUUAGAUACCCUGGUAGUCCACGCUGUAAACGUUGAAUGCUAGUUGUGAGGGCGCAAGCUUUCGUGCCGGAGUAAACACAAUAAGCAUUCCACCUGGGGAGUACGGCCGCAAGGUUGAAACUCAGAGGAAUUGACGGGG
rnacentral:rRNA from 1 species